UCAAGGGCCCGAAUUUCCAUGGGCUGCCAAUCAUAAUUAAAAGGAAUGUGGCAGUUCAGGAAGGUCGCGGCAGCAAGGAUCUCCCUGAAUAAACACCGGGUCCCAGCUGAAAACCACUCCAAAGGCUCCGAGUGAUAAAACCACCGGCAUCUACACGGGAGAUGCUUCCCACCUUGCCAGUCAGGAAGCCACUAAUCUGGAAUGUGAUGGGAGAAGUACCAGCAGUAGGCAGUGAAGCUUCCACCCCCAAAAGGGUUUAAAAUAAGACACUGGGAGCAUGACACCAGCUGCCAAAGCUGCAGCCUCCCUCUCCCCCCCCAGCAGAGCAGCCCAGGAAUGCGGCCAGGAAUGCAGCCGGGGCUGGGAUGCAGCAGCCCGCAGCCGCGCACCAGCUUCCCAGGAGCGGUUCCCUCCCGACCACAGCCUGACAUAAUGGACAGGCAGCUCCUGCAUCAACACUGACAGCCCCGGCAGAGGGGAAAGCUGCUUCCCGUGUUUCUCCUGGGGGCUCUUCCAGCCUCCACAUCCCCUGAGGGGGGAUUCGGUGCUG